AUGUAAACCUAGUUUGUAUCUUC
rnacentral:siRNA from 1 species